GACGUCACAUUGUUUUUUCCUUGCUAAAUUAAUGAAUCACCACUAAACGAAUUUCCUAGUUUUCACAACUAAAUCGGCAGUCCAGGGUGUAGUGAAGAUGUUUUCCAGCGGCCCCAACUACAACAAACUGAAGACCAAUCUUCGAUUGGCUCUCAAUCGCCUGAAAUUGCUGGAGAAGAAGAAGGCGGAGCUGACGCAAAAGUCCAGGAAGGAAAUAGCCGACUAUUUGGCCACGGGAAAAACGGAGAGAGCGAGAAUUCGCGUGGAGCACAUUAUCAGGGAGGACUACUUGGUGGAGGCAAUGGAAAUGGUGGAGAUGUACUGUGACCUGUUGCUCGCCAGAUUCGGCCUGAUCACCCAGAUGAAGGAGCUGGACACAGGGAUCGCCGAGCCGGUGGCCAGCUUGGUUUGGGUGUGUCCCCGCCUACAGAGCGAUAUAGCCGAGCUGAAGAUCAUAUCGGACAUAUUUGUGACCAAAUACGGUCCACAGUUCGCCGAGCAAUCGAGAACCGCCACUGGGGAGCACUAUGUGUCCGAGAAACUCAUGCACAAGCUGACGCUGCAGGCACCACCCAAGCUUUUGGUGGAGAAUUACCUAAUUGCCAUUGCCAAGAACUACAACAUCGAGUACGAACCGGAUCCACAGGUUAUGCAGGAGGAUCAGCCACAGCAGCCGCAUCUGAUUGACCUCUCCGAUCGGAACAACUUGAGUGGAGGGGGAGGUGCUGGCGGCGGUGGGGCUGCACCGCCCCAAAUGGGCUUCAUUGGCUAUCCGGCCAUGCCAGCACUGCCCGACAUGCCGAUGCCACCGAGCGCAAAGCCCUUCAAUUACCCACCCUUCGGUGGAGGUAGUGGUGGCGGCGGCGGCGGAGGAGGUGGAGCUCCAGCUGGAGCAUAUGCUCUACCCCAUCCCGUGCAGGCACCGCCGCCGUUCGCCUACAACAUACCGCCCAAUCAGCCGCCACCGCAUGCAAUCCUGCCAACCAAAUGUGCCGAGGAGAAGGAUCUGAACACCAACUUUAUCGAUCGUGAAGCGAACAACACGGAUGGCUCGGGCAGUCCGGAUGAGAAUAUUUUGUCAUCCAAGUGAUUCAUAGUUUGCUGUCCACUGUUAUCAUUUUGCUCGUCUCGAUGUUCCCUAUUGAUUUGUUAUGCCAGUGUUUUUAUUUUUUAUUUGCCUUAUAUUUUCUUUAAUUUUGCCUAACAGCGCCCCAAACCCGAAAAUGAUCCGCCGCCGCGUUACACCUCCAUUAACCCCGUAAAUCUCCAGAACGCCAACAAACCGAAACCACAACCCCGAUCCAAGCUGCCACCGGGUAAUCCCACGCUACCAAGUGCUCCUCCGGCGUUGGACUUCCCCUCGCUGCCCAACGUUCCCAACGAUCUGCCAGAUAUUCCGGGCGCAGGUGCCGAGAAGAAGGACGACGAGGAUGAGAUUGAUUUCGAUGACCUGUCACGUCGCUUCGAAAACCUCAAGAAGCGAAAGUGAAGCUGGACAGCAGAUCACCUUUUUAAGUCUACAGUAUAUUUGUUAUAAUCUCUGUCCUGUUCUACAUUAAUAAUCACGUAUAUGUGUAAGGAACUAUUGAUCAUUUGGUUUUUUGGAUUAAGUAGUUGGCCAGUUGAAACUCUCAACCUUGGUUCUCAUAAUCGCAAUCAUAAUUCAACUAAAAACAUCCUUAAGAUUAAAAUAAUAACAGAUAUAAUUCCGUGUACUA